rnacentral:rRNA from 1 species
GACGAACGCUGGCGGCGUGCUUAACACAUGCAAGUCGAACGGAAAGGCCCUGCUUUUGUGGGGUGCUCGAGUGGCGAACGGGUGAGUAACACGUGAGUAACCUGCCCUUGACUUUGGGAUAACUUCAGGAAACUGGGGCUAAUACCGGAUAGGAGCUCCUGCUGCAUGGUGGGGGUUGGAAAGUUUCGGCGGUUGGGGAUGGACUCGCGGCUUAUCAGCUUGUUGGUGGGGUAGUGGCUUACCAAGGCUUUGACGGGUAGCCGGCCUGAGAGGGUGACCGGCCACAGUGGGACUGAGGUACGGGCCAGAGUCCUACGGGAGGCAGCAGUGGGGAAUAUUGCACGAUGGGCGGAAGCCUGAUGCAGCAACGCCGCGUGCGGGAUGACGGCCUUCGGGGUGUAAACCGCUUUCGCCUGUGACGAAGCGUGAGUGACGGUAAUGGGUAAAGAAGCACCGGCUAACUACGUG